ACUCUGCUGAGACAUUCAUCCGGCCAGUCAGCAGAGGAGCUCAUGAAGAAGAGGGCCAGGAUGGCUGGCCCACAGGGACAGGCACAGCGUGACACUAUGGAGGUGUCCAGGUACCAAACCUGUGCAGGUGGGUAGGGUGCCUGACCUGUGAGAACUGCCAAGUGACCCUGGAAAGUAUCACAGAGACUGCAGCGGGCUGUCCCUUCCCUGGCCUGAAGUUGGACUUCUCAGAGAGUACCUGCCUACCCCCUCACAGCUGGUACACACCUAUGCUGUUUUGUCUGAGAUGGCUGGCCAGCUAUGCUCCACAGCCCUGGGAGGGACUUGGGAAAGAUUGGCCACUAAGGCUCAUUAAGAACAUGUCUGUGGGUAUACUCUGACAGUCUCAUUUAGGCUCCAGAGCCUCUACCCACCUGACCCUGGAAUCUGAGGCUGGGAAGAUGUGCUGUGACCGGAGGCUUUACCCUCCUGCCACCGUGACGUCUCUGCUGUGAUAGACUGCAACCAGGAGGUGUGAGCCAGAUAAGCCCUCUCUCCUCCAAGAUGCUUUCGUCCAAUUUGUUUAAAUCCCAGAAACAGAAAUGAAGCUAGGACACAUGACAAGGCCUCUCGGAGCAGCCGAGGAGACACAGAGAACUGAGCCCCUUCGUUCAAACAGCUCUGGCACAAAUGUCAACCAGAGUCUGAGGAGUGCUCAGGAGGCAUGCUCAAGACUGACCUGACAACAGGUCCACAAGCCCCCAGAUAUCCUUAAAUCACACUGCAAACAGCCCUGAGGAUGAGGACAUGGGGUGGCUUCUGUUACUGGCUCUCAUGCCCAUCCUUAGCUUGGGUCCUUGGGCAAAAACUCCUCUUGCUUGGGGGUGAGCAGUCAGCCCUGGGACAAUAGCAACAGACAUAGACACUGAGGGCUUUAGUUCGCUCAUGGUCAACAGCUCAUGGGGGUUGUGACUAGCUGGUCCCUCAGUUAAAACUACAGUGGACUGACUGGUGUGUCUGGAGCUCUGACAGCACUGUGCUUCAAGCAUGGACCGACAGGAACCCAGGUGAGUCCAUCUGAAGCAGAUGAGGGUGGAGUGCAAAUGACCCCAAGAGACAGUCCCCUCACCAAACCUGUGCUGGUCACCUUCCCAUCCCACAAUCUUUCUUCUGGUACAGACACAGUUUUGUUUGAAGAGGGUGGGUGAAACAACACUUGCUAGGUGACUAACCAAGUUGGUCACUAGCUGCACAGAGGGCUUCUGGGAGAAGGUAGCAAGCUGAAAAAGGAGGGGCUAGAUUGCUUGCCAGGGUAGAGACAUCAGGACCACAAGCUGACACUAAAAAGCAAGCAGCAGCUGGCCUUUCCGGAUACAGGGACAUGACAGAGCACAGGCAUUUUGAACUCUGCAUAGGCCAAACUCUGGAGGCACCCUCCCAAAGAGUUCACACAACCCGAGGUAUCACCAGGCUCCCAUCUCCCCUCUUGCAGCAAGUUCAGACUGUGGCCAACCACCCAGCCCAUGGAGAUUUAUGGCUCCAUUUGGCGUCUCUGUGUUCCACCUUAUCGCAAACCACUUAUCAAGUGUUCCAGCUCAGACAACAGCAAAGAAUUAAUCCCCUCUCUAAGGGAUGAGACGCCUCAUUUCCGAGGCUCUGAUCUGUGGGCUUUCAUCUUCGAAGGCCAUUUGUCACCUCCCACCCACACCUGCACAGUGAAGGCUGGCUAGAGACAAGCCACAGGCUACUUAAGGCAGUCACAAGGACUUAUAGCUUGUUAGUUAGACCCACAGCCUGUGGUCUGGGUAUGGGGCCCCAGGCUAUCAACCCCACUCUGGAGGGCUAAGGAAGUAGCAUGAAUCCAGCCUGCACUAUAUAGCAAGCCCUGCCUAAGAAACCAAGCGAACAGGGCUGGAGGUUAAGCACUUGCCCUUGCAGAGGACCCAGGUUCAGUUUCUAGCAGCCCACCUUAGACAGUUCUGAGGGACCCAACACCCACUUCUGACCUUCAAGGGCACAUAUAGAUAUUCGGGCACACAGAGAGACAAGCAGGUGCACACAUAGACGAGGAGGCACAUGCACAUUCAAUAAUAAAAUAUUAAAAAAGCAAGCAAGCAAGCAAGCAAGCAAGCAAGCAAGCAAGCAAGCAAACAAACAAACAAACCUAACAGAAGUCUGUGGCCUGAAGAUCUGUUCUUAUGCAGCUUUCUAAAACAUUCUAGAAUCAUCU
ensembl:antisense Gm14372 predicted gene 14372